ACUACUAAAUGAACAAUGUCUUUUAUGGUAUAUAUAGGGGAUCAAGGUCACAGAAGAAUAUCACCACUUACCACAAUAAAACGCAAAAGCAAAACAAAGGAAAGGAAGAUAGGAACCAUCUUUCUUCUCUUCUUUUCUAUUUUAAGUUUUUCAUACACUUUUGCUUCUUGUACACUGUGCCGUCCUGACCAAAGGGACGCACUUCUCCAGUUCAAGAGUGAGUUCGAGCUUCGCCAACCUCCGGAGUUUAUUGAAGAGGUUACGCAGGGUGGUGGGCACCGGCUGGUCGAUGCCACUUGUUAUCCCCAAACAAAAUCAUGGGCACACAAUAGCAAUUGUUGUUAUUGGGACGGUAUCACAUGCGAUGCUAACUCAGGUGUGGUGACUGGGGUUGACCUAAGUUGCAGCUGCCUCUAUGGCCAUUUCAAACCCAAUAGCAGUCUUUUCAGUCUAAGUCAUCUCCGGAGUCUUAACCUUGCUUACAACGAUUUCAAUGGCUCUUCCAUCCCAACUGAGAUUAAUAAACUCAUUGGAUUGCAGAAACUUAACCUUUCCCACUAUUACUUUUCUGGUAAAAUUCCAACAGAGUUUCUUCACCUCACCAAGUUGGUCUCCGUCGAUCUUUCUUCUUCUUCUUUUACGUUUUCUCAGAGUCGCUUAUCCACUGAAAACCCAUUUCUUUCUCAACUUGCACAAAACUUGACAAACCUUAGACAUCUUGAUCUGACCUAUGUCAACCUUUCCUCAAAAAUUUCUCAGAUGAUGAUCUCAAACCUGACCUCUCUAAUAUCAAUCCGCCUUCAUGAUUGCCAAUUAUUUGGUCAAUUUCCACGGCUGAGUCCUACUAUUCGAUCCCUUAUUUUGAGUGUCAAUCCACAUCUAGAAUCAUCUCUCCCAGAAUUCAAUGGAAACAACUCUCUUGUACACUUGUACCUCUCUCAAACAUCUCUUUCAGGUAACAUACCAGACUCUAUCGGCAGCCUCAAACAUUUGAAGUUUUUGAGAUUUUUCAAGUGCAAGUUCACAGGGAAGAUUCCCUCUUCAAUUGGAAACCUUUCUCGCCUCAACUUUCUGAACCUUGGUUCUAAUAACUUUGCUGGUGAAGUCCCAUCUUCAUUCCAGAAUCUGCACCGAAUGACCCAGUUAGAUCUGUGGGGAAACAAACUGAGUGGCGAAAUUCCCACUGCACUAUUCAAUCUUACAAAGUUAUCAUUCUUAUCACUCGGCUUCAAUCACUUCACAGGCACGCUUCCUCCUAACAUCACUUCCCUUUUGAAUCGCUUUCACGCAUCGUCAAACUCUUUCUUUGGAACAAUCCCUUCUACUUUCUUCAACAUUCCUUCUCUGGAUAGUCUUAGUUUGGGAGAUAACCAAUUUAGUGGACCUCUUGAUAUUGGAAAUAUAUCUUCAAUGUCUAAGCUACGAUGGUUAGAUCUUUCGAGAAACAAUUUCACAGGACCAAUCCCUAGAUCCAUAUCCAAAUUAGUCAACCUUUUGAGUCUUGAUCUUUCAUAUUUCAACACCCGUGGCCCACUUGACGUUGGUAUCUUCUGGCAUCUCAAGUGGCUAGAAGAUCUUAAUAUAUCCCACUUAAACACAACCACUCCAAUUGAUUUGAAUGCAGUUUUAUCGUUGCCUCUCAAGUUGUUCUAUAGCUUGGAUCUCUCAGGCAGCCACGUUUCAGUAGAAAACAUGAGUUCAGUUUCCACCUUUUCAUCGCAGAUUCGCAGUUGCAAGGUUUGUACUUGUCCGACUGCGGUAUCACAGUGUUUCCAGAGUUCAUAACAGCCAUACAACAUAUCUAUAUUCUAGACCUUUCUAACAACAACAUCAAAGGUCAAGUGCCUGGAUGGUUAUGGAGACUACCAAAAUUAAAGUAUGUUUAUCUUUCCAACAACACAUUCAGUAGUUUCAAAGAACUCCCAAAAGAUCUUUCAAGAACGAAGAUAGAGAUAAUAGAUCUGAGCAGAAACAACCUCUCCAGAGAGAUCCCCAUAUCAAUAUGUGAAAUGAGCUCUCUAAAUGUCGUUGAUUUAUCAAACAACAACUUCAACGGAUUUGUUCCACAGUGCCUCAGCAAUCUCAUCAAGAGGGAUCUUUCAGUUUUGAACCUCGGUAACAACCACCUCAGUGGAGAACUACCAGACAUAUUUCUCAACGGCAGCAACCUAAGGUCACUUAAUGUUGGUCACAACCAAUUGGUGGGUAACCUUCCAAGAUCUCUAUCGGCUUGCUCUUCUCUGGAUGUUCUAAACAUUGAGCACAACAGUAUGAACGACACUUUUCCAUUCUGGUUAGGAUCCUUACCCGAGCUGCAUGUACUGGUUCUCCGCUCGAAUGAGUUUCAUGGGUCAUUACAAUACCACCACCGGUUGGUUGCAUCUUUCUUUCCUCAGCUGCGAAUCAUCGACAUAUCACACAAUGACUUCAGGGGAACCUUACCGUCAGACUUCUUCAUGUACUGGAGUGCUAUGCACUCAGAAGGAGAUAGUUCAGAACUGGAGUACAUUGGAGACGGCCUCUAUUACCAGGACUCAAUUGUUUUGAUGAACAAAGGAAUAGAGUUGACCUACACCAGGAUCUUUAAACUCUUGACAGCUAUUGAUCUUUCGGGAAACAUGCUCCACGGAAACAUACCUGAAUCUAUUGGUCUAGUGAAAGCUCUUAUAGUGCUAAACCUAUCAAGCAACGGUUUCGUGGGCAACAUGCCUUCCUCUUUGGCAAAUCUGGUUCAGCUAGAGUCACUAGACUUAUCGCAUAACAAGCUCUCGGGCCACAUUCCUCCUGAUCUCGCUCAACUCACAAGUCUAUCAACCAUAAGGGUUUCACACAACAGGCUCGUAGGGAUGAUUCCGCAAAGCACACAGUUUCGAACGCAGAACGCUUCGGGUUUUGAAGAUAACGCUGGACUAUGUGGUCCUCCUCUUCUUGAUCAGUGUCGAGUUGGGAAUGAUGACACGACGCUUACACAACAAGAAGAGGAGGAUGAUGCGAAAGAAGAAGUCUUCAGCUGGACUGCAGCUGCCAUAGGUUUCGCACCAGGUAUCGUGCUUGGAUUGAGCAUUGGUCACUUGAUGCUUUUCUACAAACCGCAUUGGUUCUUCAAGGUGUUCCACAUCAACGAUCGUAGAAGACGCAUGAUAACUCCUCGUUAGCUAUGGAUUCUGAGAGUUGUGCUAAUUCAGGAAAUUGAAGAGUGAACAAGGGAGAAGAGUGAACAAGACAGAAGAGUCACGGAGGAGGAUUGUUAAGUGCGUUCGGACAUGGGCCAAUAUAAUAUUCUUGUAUAAAUAAGGCCCAAUGAUUAAGGAUGAGAGAUUAGCGAAACAUUAAUAUCAUAUUUUUGUAAAAUAAAAUGGGGAAAUUAGCAAAAUAUACCAUAAUGAGAUCUAUUUGUGA